rnacentral:rRNA from 1 species
CAGCCGCCGCGGUAAUACGAAGGGGGCUAGCGUUGCUCGGAAUUACUGGGCGUAAAGCGCACGUAGGCGGACUCUUAAGUCAGGGGUGAAAUCCUGGAGCUCAACUCCAGAACUGCCUUUGAUACUGAGAGCCUUGAGUUCGGGAGAGGUGAGUGGAACUGCGAGUGUAGAGGUGAAAUUCGUAGAUAUUCGCAAGAACACCAGUGGCGAAGGCGGCUCACUGGCCCGAUACUGACGCUGAGGUGCGAAAGCGUGGGGAGCAAACGGGAUUAGAUACCCCGGUAGUCCCUGUCUCUUAUAC